AAACAUAGUCAAAGUGGCAAUUCUUAAGUCGACUGGCAACUCUUGCUUAAUAAAUCAUCCUAAUGAUCUCAUCGUGUGAAUAGCUACAAUACAAACACGUAAACCGGUUUACAAAACAAAGCUACGUAUGGGAUAUUGGAAUUAUUCAUAAACAGAGAUACGAAAGAAGAACAUGAAAGUCAGCGGAACAAGUUACAAUUCUUAGAGGUCAACAUACACCAUGUUACGUCAUGCACGUGCAAAAGGUAAAAACUAAAGUCAGUUGAUAUAAUUAUACGAAAAAGUAACCAGUUGAAUAAUAAUUCUCAUUGCUUUCAUGACACAACGUACGAAAUGCAUUGUACGUGUACGCGAAUCGAGUAUUGUCAUCGUCGGAUAGACGGAACAUUUAAGCAUUUAAGAACGUAGCCAUCUGGAGUUUGGUUAGCGAAGCAGUAUUUGCAUAUAGGUGGCAGCACUGCCAUCGAUCACAAGCGAGAGUCAGUAACAAAGCUUGUCGUUGAGAAUUGUCCAAGUGUAUAACAGAAUACCUAAUUAACGUAAGGUCCCGUUCACCUUCACGCGAUUCAGUGACUGUACAGCAGAGAGUAGGCAAUAAAGAGUGAGUUAGAUUAUUAAGUUCGGCAAAGCUAUGUAUGUUAGACCGGGCUAAGGCCUGCGCUAUGCUAAGCUAACCUAUAGUAGGCUAGGUUAAGUUAGAUUUGGCCAAGUGAGUACCUACCAGUACCUGUGCGUUUGUUUGUAAAACCAGGCACGGACGGUAAUUGCGUGAUAUAAAUGGACGGGCGUGUGUUCUGAAUUAACGUACAGAUUUACGAGCGAUUUCGGACGUCCUCGAAUUAAAAACAGAAUUUAUGGGGAGGUAUGACUCCUGUAAUUCUUUCUGUAUAAGAGACGAUCAAUUGACGGUGUCCUAUAUGACCUCGUACGGGCAGAUCCUCAAUUACGUUAAUCAGACAAUGAGUGCACGUUAACGUAAAUCUUGUACUCGAUUUCUCGUAGCAAGGUUAUUUAUAUUUAGAAGAUAAUUUGAUUGGUCGAUUCAGAUAGAAGAUGAUACUGUAGACGGCACGUGCUCGAAUUUCACAAUCCUUCGCACCAACAAUGUAAAUCUCAAGUACGGUCUGAAGCGGCUUCCUUUUUUUUUAUAUAUAUAUUUGCGAACGCACGUUCCGACUUUAUAUACAGUUAGAUUUCUACUGUGCCUACCGAAUCGACUUUUUCAUCGGUUUCCUUCCUCUACUUUUUCCAUCGGUAACGAUUUUGCCAACUACAAAGAUUUUCGGCUACUCGCAGCAAAAUAGUGACGAGUCAUCGAACGAGAGUUCAUAAGAAACCGUUAUACCAGAGUGCACGGUGAGUCACGCGAUCCAGAUUUCAGGUGACAAUAAGUCUACGAUCGUAUAGAUCACGAAAGAUCAAGAUCACUCGAGCCUUUCUAUUGUAUCGCUACGGCGAUUGGUUCGUACAAAAAAAGAAACAAUUUGUGGCAGAGAGGUUGGAUAGAUAUACCUUCUAUACGUAUGCGUGCAAGCGAAGAGAAGCCUGUCGGGCGCAGGAGGAAAAGAAACUGGUUGUCGCCAGCGUUGCCAAAGUAAGCAACGUUUGCCACUGUUGCCACAGUGUGUCCCUACUAACUUGUAUCUCGACACGCUCUAUGCUUACGGAGUGGCUUUAACGGGUUGGCUGAUGGAUUUGGCCUUGGUCAUCGUUUGAUCUCCACUCGAGUGAAUCAGUUCGAAUCUUUCUCGCACCUCUCGAAAUUCAUGAGAAAAGUUUCCACGGUUACGUGCAUCAAUGAUAUAUCACUUUUAGGAACAUUGUUCCUUGUUAAAGGUCCGUUGGUAAUUUAGACCCACAGUAUUGACUAUUAACAUUAACCUUAUCACGAUCGGAUUCAAGGCUCUUGGAUACAACGACAAAUUUGAGUUUGGACGGGUCGAUUUCGAUUUUGAAAAUUAUUAUUUAUUUUCACAAAUUUAAUAAAUUCUCAAAUUUUGGAAUCUUUCAAACUCAGUAUCGUCGACCGAAUUUAUUGUUCGUAUGGAGAUUUAUGAUGAAAAAUAUUUUAUUUAAAUAUUUUAAUGUAAUUAAGUAACUUUUUUAUUGCUUAAAUUGCUCUGUCAAAUUUUUCAUAACUUUAUGCAUUACCUACGUACAUCAGUUGACGUUAUUCGAUUUUGCAAGGCCAAAAACUUCACGCUCUAGCAAUAUCUGCAGUUGAAAGUUUUAUACGUUAUUAGUUAUCUGUUCUCCAUCGACAACUCGUAAUAAAUCAACUCUAAUCUUUCGCGCGUCGUAAUCCGUCAAAAUGUAAUAGCGUGUCAUUCCGAUUGCGAGACUAGGUCUUGCUUCGUGAAUGACGGGUUUUAACAAAAAAUGAUAAAAAUUAAAAAAAAAACAAUCUCUAAUCAAGUCCCGAAUCUACGAUUCGACGGUUCUUACGACUUCGAAAUUUUAUUAGCUUGCACGAUAUUGCAAAUUGACGAAUUUCUUUUUCAACACUUGAUAAAUUUAAUUAUAACUUGAAUAAUGAAUUCGAAAUUAAAUUUAUCCAUAUUGAAAAAUACGGCACGAAUAUUGUACAACAUAAUUGAAAAUGAAUUGUAAAAACUUAACGUCGAGAGCUGUUUAUACAAAUUAAUGAACGUAACAGAUUGCAGGACUGGGGAUUGUUUCGAUAA